rnacentral:rRNA from 1 species
CCUAUCAGUUAGUUGGUGAGGUAAUGGCUCAACAAGGCGACGACGGGUAUCCGGCCUGAGAGGGCGACCGGACACACUGGGACUGAGACACGGCCCAGACUCCUACGGGAGGCAGCAGUGGGGAAUAUUGGGCAAUGGACGCAAGUCUGACCCAGCGACGCCGCGUGCGGGAUGAAGGCCUUCGGGUUGUAAACCGCUUUCAGUAGGGAAGAAGCGAAAGUGACGGUACCUACAAAAGAAGCACCGGCUAACUAUGUGCCAGCAGCCGCGGUAAUACAUAGGGUGCAAGCGUUGUCCGGAAUUAUUGGGCGUAAAGAACUCGUAGGUGGUUUGUUACGUCGGAUGUGAAAAUCAGGGGCUCAACCCCUGACCUGCAUUCGAUACGGGCAGACUGGAGUGUGGUAGGGGAGACUGGAAUUCCUGGUGUAGCGGUGGAAUGCGCAGAUAUCAGGAGGAACACCAAUGGCGAAGGCAGGUCUCUGGGCCAUUACUGACACUGAGGAGUGAAAGUGUGGGGAGCGAACAGGAUUAGAUACCCUGGUAGUCCACACCGUAAACGAUGGACGCUAGUUGUGGGGACCUUCCACGGUUUCUGCGACGCAGCUAACGCAUUAAGCGUCCCGCCUGGGGAGUACGAUCGCAAGAUUAAAACUCAAAGGAAUUGACGGG